UACAGAGGGUGCGAGCGUUAAUCGGAAUUACUGGGCGUAAAGCGCGCGUAGGCGGCUUUGCAAGUCGGGUGUGAAAUCCCCAGGCUUAACCUGGGAACUGCAUUCGAGACUGCAUUGCUAGAGUAUGGGAGAGGGAAGUGGAAUUUCCGGUGUAGCGGUGAAAUGCGUAGAUAUCGGAAGGAACAUCAGUGGCGAAAGCGACUUCCUGGACCAUAACUGACGCUGAGGCACGAAAGCGUGGGUAGCAAACAGG
rnacentral:rRNA from 1 species